AUUGGUUCGUUGUAUACCUCAUCAUUAUUAUGGAGGAUCAAUCAGUUACUAUACAUUAUACAUAGGAACAUAUGCUUAUCACGGGUUUCCCAUAUACUCGAACACAGAAUGACAUACAUGAGUACCUUAAAACACAUCUACCCACGAACAUGGAACGAUAAGGGCACGUUGAUAAGAUUGUUUCGCCAUACACCCAAACACGAAAUGGUUAUGUAUGAGUGCACACUUAUCACUUUGCAAAAUACACCUAA
rnacentral:lncRNA from 1 species